rnacentral:rRNA from 1 species
UUCAGGACGAACGCUGGCGGCGUGCCUAACACAUGCAAGUCGAACGAGAAUCUUUGAACAGAUCUUUUCGGAGUGACGUUCAAAGAGGAAAGUGGCGGACGGGCGAGUAACGCGUGAGUAACCUGCCCAUAAGAGGGGGAUAAUCCAUGGAAACGUGGACUAAUACCGCAUAUUGUAGUUAAGUUGCAUGACUUGAUUAUGAAAGAUUUAUCGCUUAUGGAUGGACUCGCGUCAGAUUAGAUAGUUGGUGAGGUAACGGCUCACCAAGUCAACGAUCUGUAGCCGAACUGAGAGGUUGAUCGGCCGCAUUGGGACUGAGACACGGCCCAGACUCCUACGGGAGGCAGCAGUGGGGAAUAUUGCGCAAUGGGGGCAACCCUGACGCAGCAACGCCGCGUGCAGGAAGAAGGUCUUCGGAUUGUAAACUGUUGUCGCAAGGGAAGAAGACAGUGACGGUACCUUGUGAGAAAGUCACGGCUAACUACGUGCCAGCAGCCGCGGUAAUACGUAGGUGACAAGCGUUGUCCGGAUUUACUGGGUGUAAAGGGCGCGUAGGCGGACUGUCAAGUCAGUCGUGAAAUACCGGGGCUUAACCCCGGGGCUGCGAUUGAAACUGACAGCCUUGAGUAUCGGAGAGGAAAGCGGAAUUCCUAGUGUAGCGGUGAAAUGCGUAGAUAUUAGGAGGAACACCAGUGGCGAAGGCGGCUUUCUGGACGACAACUGACGCUGAGGCGCGAAAGUGUGGGGAGCAAACAGGAUUAGAUACCCUGGUAGUCCACACCGUAAACGAUGGAUACUAGGUGUAGGAGGUAUCGACCCCUUCUGUGCCGCAGUUAACACAAUAAGUAUCCCACCUGGGGAGUACGACCGCAAGGUUGCAACUCAAAGGAAUUGACGG